GACAGAGGAUGCAAGCGAUAUCCGGAAUUAUUGUGCGUAAAGAGUACGUAGGCGGCUUAUCAAGUCAGGGGUUAAAUCCCGCAGAUUAACUGCGGAUCUGACUUUGAAACUGAUCGGCUAGAGUAUUGUAGGGGUAGAGGGAAUUCCCGGUGUAGCGGUGAAAUGCGUAGAUAUCGGGAAGAACACCUGUGGCUAAAGCGAUCUAAUGGACCAUAACUGACGCUGAGGUACGAACGCUUGGGGAGCGAAUGGG
rnacentral:rRNA from 1 species